rnacentral:rRNA from 1 species
AUAAAUCAUUAAAUUUAAAAGAUUUGGCUGUAUUUUUUAGGAUUAGAGGAAUCUGUUUAUUAAUUGAUAAUCCACGAUAAGAGAUACUUAUUAUUUAUGUAUUGCUGUUUAUAGAAUAUUAUUAAUUAAAUAUUUAAAUUUUUAAUUUAAUUUAUUUCAAGUCAAAAUAUAGUAUAAUUAAGUAAUGGAUUACAAUUUAAUUUUGAAAUUGGAUUUAAAAGUAA